UUUUCUCUCGCACUCUUGGCUCAAACAAAAAAAAUCUUCUCUCGCACUCACACCUUUGCCGUUUCUAAUCCUCAAAAAAAAAAAAAAAAGAGAUUGCUGUUUCUUGAUCCCCUUUUCAUUUCCUUCCUUCCUCUCGCUCCUCCUUCCACCUGAUGAGCUCUGACUGUUAGCGCUGCUCAACUCACUGGUGCGGCCAUGGGGUGGCCGUCUACGGUGCUUGGUUUGGCUCCUAUACUCGUCGAUCUCUCAGACCGGUCAACGGCGACGGAGUGGUAGCAGGGCCCAAGGGAGAAGCGGCUCAAGGGAGGAAACGAGCUCGUCGAUCCUGACGGCGCUGUUGCCGUCGGCGUCCAUCCAGGUGAUGUGGGUGUGGAUCUUGUCUCCCGCAGACAGGUUGGAUCCACCUUGAUUGUGAGAUGCUGACGGUGUUGUUUUCGAUCGCAUCGUCGCUGCCUCCCGAGCGAGGCAGCCCGGUAGGUCAUCUUCAUCCUGGACUGGCAGCCUGAUUUCGGCAGCUCAUUCUUCCACUUGCAGGUCCCCCUUCUCUCUUUUCCUACCCCUCUCAUGUUUUUGUUUCUUAUCCUUUUUCUGCAUGUGUAUGGGUAAACCAAUAUAAUGCGAUUAAGGUGUUGCUUGUUAGGAUGUAUAUAUCUGUUUAUGGCCCCCUGCCCCGUUCAUAUUCAACAAAUUUAGUAAGUAAUUAGUGUAAUCAUGAUUAGCCAUGUCUUACUAUUUAGUACUACCAAAGAAAAAGUUUAUAGGAAAAUAGGUGUGAUUGCAUCCUACUCCCUCCGUUUCCAAAAUACUUGACUUCCAUUUGUCCAAAAAUAGAUAUACCUAUAUACUAAAACAUGUCUAGAUACAUCCAUAUUUUGACAAAUGGAAGGCAUGUAUUGUGGAACGGAGGGAGUACAUAUGAACUAAAAUGAUGCGUGGAUGUUGACACUAUUGGCUUGUACUAUAGAAUAAUCUUUAAAUAUCAGAUAACACAAAGUGUCGACAUUUGGUAUUAACCAGCUAUUUCCACCAAAUGUUGAUGCAUGUUUCCAAUACUUCUAUGAGUAGUGGAUCAUAUCCAUUCUGCCAUAUAAUGCUAGCAUAGAAAAUUCAGUUUUUAUUUUGAAGAUAGUUUUGUAGUGUACUAUUUUUUCAUCUACUUAUGUUUAUCUAAAAGGCUAGUAGCAUCUGGAAGUUUGUUUUUGUUCCUACCUUUAGAAUAUUUUUGUGUAUACUAUGUUCUUGACCACAUCUUCCUUGUUGUUAGUUUAUUUGCUAUAGAAAAGAAAAUAACAGGUAUGGUCAAGUUAGUAGGCUAUUACUGGCAAGUGUUUUCCCAAAGUAUCUCCUUUUUCUUAUGUCCCUCAUGAACUCAUUGAGCUUUGUGUGGAACAUUCGAUCAACAAUAUCAGGUUUCUGUGAUGUUCUUUGGCCUACUUCCAUAAGCAUAGAUUGAAUAUCCGGCCAAGCUGUGUUGCACGUGAAUGCCACAAAUAGGUCUGUGUAUCAAGCCCAUCGACAUCUUGCUAUAGCAUCUUGGUAGUUUUGUGCUUGUAUCUUAGGUUAUCUGUGAAGCUGGAUGGCAGUAGUAUUCUCCUUCCUACCUUGUCAGCCCUUGUAUCUCCUCUUUAUGUUGCAUCCUGCAAGUCAGCAUAUAAUUCUGCUCUUAUGUUUCCUUGAUGUUUUUUGGACCAGUCUAGUUUGUACUACAAAAUGCAUGCAAGGGCAUCCAUGUUGAACUUCCGAAGUUGCUCGUUCGUUGAGGUUCUUCUCGCCUUUAUGCAUGUCCAAACGCCCUUCUCAAGUUGCUCUUUCUUCAUACCAGAAAAUUGCACCACACCAUUCACACUUGCGCCUUGGACUUUCGAAGUUCCAAAUUUCCAUAUCAGUCCUUUUCAAUGUCCUGUUUAAGUUUCUGAAUUUAGCAUCAAUUUGAAUAUUAGUAUGUUCUUUUUUCUUACUAAUACAACAAACUUAAUAGAACUGACAUAUCUGGUUAUUCUGCCCUUGAUUUUUUCUAUUGUACACUUUGUGUUACUUUUAGUCAUGUACACAUGCUUAACAGAAUUACCAGGUUCAUGAAUGUCCAAAUUGUAGAUCUUAAUUGAAUUUUCUUGCUACUUACUUCGUAGUUUUACCAGCCUAUGCUUUCCUGUGGCAAUUCAACAAUGCUAAUUUUGCCUCAGUCAAUGCACAUGAUUGACAUCUGUACAUGAUAUGGUUCCCUGUGGUAAUUCAACAAUGCUGAUUUUGCCUCCGUCUUGAUUAAGCCCUGUUGCAUGGAAAUGUGUUUUCAUGUUUAAAAAAAGCUAAUAGGUACAAUCAGGAACAAAUGCAACAUGUUUUUGUGAUUCAAUAUAGCACUUGGAAGGAACGGAACACAUAGAUAUCACAAUUGAUGCGCAAAGAAGACGCAAGCUAUAAUGUUGCUUCCAGUAUACCAUACUACAGUUGUGCAACAUGUAAGGGAAGUUUAGCAAUUGAAUUAAGAACAGUAAGUUAAGAUAGUGGAUGAUAAUACACAUAAGAAUACCUUUGUGAUGAUUUGCUUAUGGCACGUGGUUGGCAUAUUUGUGCUGUCUGGCACAUCUCCAUGUAUGAUCGAACGCUGUCUCUUGUUGUUGUCUUGAAGUUUCAUUCUCCUUUCCUAAUCCUAUCUUGUUAUUAUUGAUUGUCUGGAUUCACAUCAAUAUUAUAAUAUAUUUUUUCUGCCCAUGCUUAAAUCAAUUAUGAACACAAAUGUGCCUAACUGGAAUUGUUGCAUUAUAUAAUUUAGGUGUAACCGUUUUGUGAUAUCACUUAUUAAAAGUGCAUGAUUAGCAGCGGAUCACCUUGUUGGAUUGUAUAUUUGAUUGCUUUUAACUACCUUGGCAGGUUUCUCACAUUAUUGCAAUGUGGUCCACCUUUUAUUUUCAUCGUUUCUUCCUGCACAAAAUAGAAAACAUGUAUUAUAGAGGAUGAUAUUGUAAAAUUGGUACCAAGUACUGCUGAAGGUUAUGGAGAUCUAUGAUUCUGAUUAAUUAUUCACCUUACAAUUUUUUGUUUUGUUGUAGAAGUAAAGGAGAUCAACUUCCAAGAUCAGUGAUUGUGGUGAAAGCUUUAAUGUUAAAGUGGAUGUUAAGUUUCAAUCAUCAUGAUGAAGACACAUAUUUGUGAGGGUCUGUUACCCUUCUGUUGUUUUUAGAUGAUAGUCUAUAUGAAACCAUAUAUGGGUGAAGAAUUAGAUUGUAAUUGGGGAUGGCAGGUUCAUGCACAAUUACGAUUGAAGAAUCGCAAGGGAACUUGCCUGGUCUAAAUUUGGAAGCUAUUUGAUUAUGUACCUUGAGUUGAAACGUGGUAUGUACCUUCGAUCAUGUUCCUCCGUGAUUUUCAUGGUGAUUGGGAAUCAAGUGGUGUAGACUCGACGGGGAUGACUUGGAAUGAGAGGAGCCAUGGCAAGCUAGCAUUAAAGGAGGAAGGGACUCACGCAGGUGAUCUUCCAACAUAGAUUUGUUUGUAGAUGCGUUUUCUAUUGGAUUGUAAGGAGGGAGGUAUAUAAAUAGAUUAUUA